UACGGAGGGUGCAAGCGUUAUCCGGAUUUACUGGGUUUAAAGGGAGCGCAGGCGGAUUAGUAAGUCAGUGGUGAAAGCCUUGAGCUUAACUCGAGACUGCCAUUGAUACUAUUAGUCUUGAAUGUUGUUGAGGUUUGCGGAAUGGGUCAUGUAGCGGUGAAAUGCAUAGAUAUGACCCGGAACACCUAUUGCGAAGGCAGCAGGCUAAACAAAUAUUGACGCUGAGGCUCGAAAGCGUGGGGAUCAAACAGG
rnacentral:rRNA from 1 species